GUGGCGCAUUCGUUCAGUAGACAUCAAGUUGAAAGCAUCCAGUGCAUUUCCGCCUCCUGACUUUGCUUUGGUUUUCAAGUUUCGUUUCAACCUGCAAAUAUAAGCCAGAAUGAAGGUUUACAUGUGCCUGGUUCUCCUGAUGGUCGUUGGAUGUGCCUUGAGUUUCGCAGAGACAGACGAUUUUCUUCCUGAGGAGUCAGUAAAAGAACGAAAAUCUCGUUGGAUUGCCUACCCCGCCCGUCGACCCAGUUGCCAUCAAGAUUCCGAUUGUUCGUCAGACAGGAGGUGUUUUAUGCGCGAGGCAUGGUCGGUGGGCUUGUGCGUACGUGCACAGUUGUUGGGUUAAGAACCAAAGAAUAUACUUACAUUCAACAUUAAUGAAAUAAUGUUCGGCGAAGCAUAAUGUUUGAGAUCUAACACUGUGUUGGGCAUUUGAAGGGGGAUGGUGCCAGUAAUUCGGGUUCAGACGCCCC